rnacentral:rRNA from 1 species
UACGGAGGGUGCAAGCGUUAAUCGGAAUUACUGGGCGUAAAGCGUGCGCAGGCGGUUUGUUAAGUCCGUUGUGAAAGCCCCGAGCUCAACUUGGGAAUUGCAGUGGAUACUGGCAGGCUGGAGUACGGUAGAGGAAGGUGGAAUUCCCGGUGUAGCAGUGAAACGCGUAGAUAUCGGGAGGAACACCAGUGGCGAAGGCGGCCUUCUGGACCAGUACUGACGCUCAUGCACGAAAGCGUGGGGAGCAAACAGG